GGGGGUGUUCCGGAUUCGACCUUCGGCGGGAGCGCGCCGUCGCCCUCCGGGCGUGAAGGCCGCCCGUUAAUCUCCCUUCAAAAAACAAACGGCAAAACUGAAGCAAUGCCCCUCGCUGCCUAAUUAAACCAGCGACGCCCUGACGCGGACACCUGCUACGCGUCCGGGCGACGACAGCAGGCAUAACGCGCGAAGCCAUCCGCGGUUCGCGCGCCGUAUCUUCAAACCGGGGAUUGGCCUGCGGUGCGGCGCGGUUGGUCGCGUCCCGCCGGCGAGAUCAAAGCCAACCUAUGAGGGUAGAAGCGGCGUGUGAACGCCUUGGGGACGCGGGUUCAACUCCCGCCACCUCCACCA
rnacentral:tmRNA from 1 species